CUACGGGCGGCUGCAGUGAGGAAUUUUGCGCAAUGGGGGUAACCCUGACGCAGCAACGCCGCGUGAGUGAUGAAGGCUUUCGAGUCGUAAAGCUCUGUCAAGUGGGAAGAAUAUACGAAAUGCUAAUACCAUUUUGUACUGACGGUACCACUGAAGGAAGCACCGGCUAACUCCGUGCCAGCAGCCGCGGUAAUACGGGGGGUGCAAGCGUUAUUCGGAAUUAUUGGGCGUAAAGAGCACGUAGGCGGCCGCUUAAGUCAGAUGUGAAAGCCCGGGGCUCAACCCCGGAAGUGCAUUUGAAACUAAGUGGCUUGAGUAUGGGAGAGGGAAGUGGAAUUCCUGGUGUAGAGGUGAAAUUCGUAGAUAUCAGGAGGAACACCGGUGGCGAAGGCGACUUCCUGGACCAAUACUGACGCUGAGGUGCGAAGGCGUGGGGAGCAAACAGGGUUAGAUACCCCGGUAGUC
rnacentral:rRNA from 1 species